rnacentral:rRNA from 1 species
AGCAGCCGCGGUAAUACGUAGGUGGCAAGCGUUAUCCGGAAUUAUUGGGCGUAAAGCGCGCGUAGGCGGUUUUUUAAGUCUGAUGUGAAAGCCCACGGCUCAACCGUGGAGGGGCAUUGGAAACUGGAAAACUUGAGUGCAGAAGAGGAAAGUGGAAUUCCAUGUGUAGCGGUGAAAUGCGCAGAGAUAUGGAGGAACACCAGUGGCGAAGGCGACUUUCUGGUCUGUAACUGACGCUGAUGUGCGAAAGCGUGGGGAUCAAACAGGAUUAGAUACCCUGGUAGUCCACGCCGUAAACGAUGAGUGCUAAGUGUUAGGGGGUUUCCGCCCCUUAGUGCUGCAGCUAACGCAUUAAGCACUCCGCCUGGGGAGUACGACCGCAAGGUUGAAACUCAAAGGAAUUGACGGGGACCCGCACAAGCGGUGGAGCAUGUGGUUUAAUUCGAA